AAGUCGUAACAAGGUUUCCGUAGGUGAACCUGCGGAAGGAUCAUUAACGAAAGCUAGAAGCGGUGGGAUGUCGCUGGCGCACUUUGGUGCUGCAUGUGCACGUCCGCUGCCUUUACCUUUUUCUCCACCUGUGCACCUUUGUAGGGGACCUGGAUGCUCAUCAGAGGGGCUUUAACGCCUCUCUGGAUUUGGGAUUGUCGGCCUAGCAGUCAGCUCUCCUUGGUUGUCCAGCGUCCUUCUAUGUUUUUUACACACUACAAAAACUGAAAUAGAAUGUUUGCAUUUGGGGGAUAAUAAUACAACUUUCAGCAACGGAUCUCUUGGCUCUC
rnacentral:misc_RNA from 1 species